rnacentral:miRNA from 1 species
GCAUGUGAACUCCUACUGCUCC